CCGCACAAGCGGUGGAUGAUGUGGUUUAAUUCGAUGCAACGCGAAAAACCUUACCUACCCUUGACAUGCCAGGAAUCCUGCAGAGAUGUGGGAGUGCUCGAAAGAGAACCUGGACACAGGUGCUGCAUGGCCGUCGUCAGCUCGUGUCGUGAGAUGUUGGGUUAAGCCCCGCAACGAGCGCAACCCUUGUCAUUAGUUGCUACGAAAGGGCACUCUAAUGAGACUGCCGGUGACAAACCGGAGGAAGGUGGGGAUGACGUCAGGUCCUCAUGGCCCUUAUGGGUAGGGCUACAUACGUCAUACAAUGGCCGGUACAGAGGGCUGCCAACCCGCGAGGGGGAGCCAAUCCCAGAAAACCGGUCGUAGUCCGGAUCGCAGUCUGCAACUCGACUGCGUGAAGUCGGAAUCGCUAGUAAUCGCGGAUCAGCUUGCCGCGGUGAACACGUUCCCGGGUCUUGUACACACCGCCCGUCACACCAUGGGGGCGGGUUCUGCCAGAAGUAGUUAGCCUAACCGCAAGGAGGGCGAUUACCACGGCAGGGUUCGUGACUGGGGUGAAGUCGUAACAAGGUAGCCGUAGGGGAACCUGCGG
rnacentral:rRNA from 1 species